ACACAUUCCUCAGCUCGGCUCGGGCUGCGCACUGCUACCGGGAGGGCAAGCACCAAACACAGUGCUGGGGAAAGGCACCUCCCAGAGAGGCCUCCCGGCUGAUGACAAGCAGGUUGUGUACACGGGCGGAAUGAAUAAGCGUAACAAGGGCUGUUUACCCGUUUAUCCGCAGAGCACACACCCAGCAGGAUGGCCGGCCCUGCAGUGACACCAGCCCGAGCUGCAGGAGCCUCCCAGGUCACCUUACGGCAGACCAGUACCCACAUGCUUACCAUCCUGAGCAGGCAGUGGCUUCAAUAGCAGUGGGAUGCCCAGCCAUACCCAAUCACUGCCUGAGCUGCAAGACACCUGGACCUUAUGUGUGACAUCACGUCUCCUUUUCCAUCACUACCCAGUUCUCCAUUCCUCUUUCCCUGUAACAGCAAGGCAGCCCAGAUAGCUGGGAGAGCAUGCACCACCAUAGCAGCCAGCAGCGCCCAGCUUUUCCCAGGCUCCUGGCACUCGGUACUGCCCUUACUGCUACUCCACCAUGGGCUCCCCAUGGUGGCUUAUCAGCCACUCCUGUGCAAAGUCCACCAUCUCACCUGCUGCAGAGCUUUCACCUAAAUCCACCACAUUCCCCUCCCAGAAACAGUUGAGGAGUCAUCCCACACUGCUAACCGCCAAGGAGAUAACUUGCAGCAGAGGGGCAGGGUCAGUGGUGCUAUCUAGGAUGACCACAGCUGCCAGGAAUGAUCCCAGCACCUCUCAGCAGUCCCCAGUGAGGAUUAAUUUAAUCAGGCCACGCAUCCCCUUCUAGAUGAUAAAAGCUAUGGGAUGGACCCUGCACUAAAUAGCAGGGACAAGAUGUUACCAAGAAACCCCCCAACUCUCCCCAUAACUCAGGAUGAGGGGCUUGAAGAGAGGAGAGCAAACACUGGGGUCACGGCAGCCCCCCAGACCAAGAGUAUGAGGUGGAGACACCCUACAGCCCCCACACUCCUCCCAAGGCUCAGGCUGGGGGACAUCAGCAGCGCAGCUCCAUGGGCCCAGAAGCCUCCCAGACCCAGGCAUACACUAUAAGUCAUCUCAGCCCAAACCUCCCUCUGCCAGGGCUGUCUCACACAAGAUUUUUCCCUUCCAUCAUCAUUAAUUUGGGUUUCCGGGAGCUCAGAGGCCAGUGGUCUGAUGUCAGCAGGCUUGUCACGAGCAGGUGAGUCACCUCUGACAAACCUGCCCCAGCCUAAGCACCAUUAAUUAGUGCCUCCAGGGCCUGUCCCAGCACUGCCCCACCUCUGACAGAAGCACUGCCCAUGCUGGAAGCGCACACUGAGCAUCACCUGCCAACUGGUGGCACACAGUGAGGUUGGUGAGGUCCACAGCCCAUCUUUACGAAGCAACCAUACAGCACUGGUGCUUCUGCAGCCUGCAGCUUCGUGGCUCUUUCACUGGGUUAUUUGGGAAUAGCAAAGCCCUUGCACUGGAGGAUUCAAGAAGAGGGACCUUCCCAGAAGGUUGGAAGAUGGCAGAAGGACACAUCAGGCAUCACACAUCUUGUGUGAUAAACCACAGGACCCUUGGCUCAGGACCAGGAGGGAAGGAUGUGGUGUGCCUGGUUCAACACAACCAGGACAACAGUGACAGCAUGGGCCGUGAGUGUGCACGAGGUGGAAACACCCCAGGCAUGAUGUGGGCACAUGCCCAGGAUUAAGCCCUGCAGAAGAGAGCCAUCUGAGAGCAGACCCUUUGUAGCAGGGCAGCCCCAAACUGAUCUAUUUCAGCAUUCUCCCUGGAGCUCUCCUUGCAGACCAGCCGCUGCCAGACCUGCUAACAUCUCUCUUGCUUUCCCUGAACCACCCUCACUGCUGCAUUUCCCACUCCUCCCUGGUUUCCCAUAAGCUGAGGCUCAGAUGUGUUUAGGGCAAACCUAAUUCUCCCACUCACUGCCCUGUUUCCCAGCAGCAUCCAUCACCCCUGCACACGGGAUAUUUUAAACCCAACUCUACCUACAGCUAUUUUUAUCAUGUCCUCCUCAAACCCAUUCGUGGCCAGAGGAUUUCUCUGGAGGGGACACAUGGUAGUAUCCCAGCUCCUCCCAUGGACACAGCCAUGAAGACCUGACCACAUGCUGUAGCUGGGACUGCCCUGAUGCACAGCCCCCCAAGCUUACCCUUCUCCCACUCCUUGUGCUGGGGCACAGUGAGGACACCACAGCUGUAGGGCAGGGUCUCACCACCCAGGACCCCAUCCCUCUGCUCUCAAACACAGCAAACCAGAGGCUACAGAUAAGUGCAACCAAACAUCCAGACCAUCAGUCCAGCUCCCUGCAAGGUUACUGGUCUGAGCUUAAAUAGAGCCCCAGGCCCAUGAGUGAGGGCACAGCUGAGGCUGCUAAGGGCCGUCACAGCCUAUCGUUGCUUUUUGGGCAGCUCCUGAUCAAUUCCUAACACUCUGCAGCCCUCAGCCUGCUGCUCACAGGGGACUGUGACAGCUCAUCCAGCUCUAUUGUGCUGUUACUGCGACUGGGGAGGUGCUGGGUUCCCAAGGAGAAUGUCAGAGGAGAUAGAUUUGCUUUGGGGUGAGCACAGGACCGGGGCUGACCAUCCCCAGAUGAACCCCUGCCUGCAUCUCUCCCCUUACAGCUUCAUUCCAAUGGCAGAGAGCUGCUGGUGCUGAGCUGCGCUCCCCGCAGCUGAGAGCCUCUGAGAUCAAAGAUGCUCUCAUACAGAACCAAAACAUUAUUGCUGGCUUUUAAAGGCCAGACUGAAGUUCUGAAGGAAUGAAGUUCCAUUUUCCAGAGGUCUAAUUUGGAGCUGUUUAAAUGCUUAUUGAGAUAAAGAGAGUCAAGCAGAUUGUGAGGGCUGGGAGACAGGGAAGGGGGAAAAAAAGAGGUUAUUACUGACUUCAGUUGAAGCCUUUAUUCUACCUGGAGCUCCCCACUUCUGCCCAGCAGCUUUCAGUAAUGCCAUUGUUAGCAUCAGAAUUGUAAUUCUCGGGUCCUUUUCAUUACCAAAAUCAUAAUAAUUAAAUAAUAUAUCCC
rnacentral:lncRNA from 1 species